GUAGGUGGCAAGCGUUGUCCGGAAUUAUUGGGCGUGAAGCGCGCGCAGGCGGGUCCUUUAAGUCUGAUGUGAAAGCCCACGGGCUCAACCGUGGAGGGUCAUUGGAAACUGGGGGACUUGAGUACAGAAGAGGAAAGCGGAAUUCCAAGUGUAGCGGUGAAAUGCGCAGAGAUUUGGAGGAACACCAGUGGCGAAGGCGGCUUUCUGGUCUGUAACUGACGCUGAGGCGCGAAAGCGUGGGGAGCAAACAGGAUUAGAUACCCUGGUAGUCCACGCCGUAAACGAUGAGUGCUAAGUGUUAGGGGGUUUCCGCCCCUUAGUGCUGCAGCUAACGCAUUAAGCACUCCGCCUGGGGAGUACGGCCGCAAGGCUG
rnacentral:rRNA from 1 species